UUAACACAUGCAAGUCGAACGAAGAAACUUAGAAUGAGAGCUUCGGCAGGGAUUUCUUCUUUUCUUUAGUGGCGGACGGGUGAGUAACGUGUGGGCAACCUGCCCUGUACUGUGGAAUAAUCACUGGAAACGGUGACUAAUACCGCAUGUCAUCUUUGGAAGGCAUCUUCUGAAGAAAAAAGGAGCAAUUCGGUACAGGAUGGGCCCGCAUCUGAUUAGCUAGUUGGUGAGAUAACAGCCCACCAAGGCGACGAUCAGUAGCCGACCUGAGAGGGUGAUCGGCCACAUUGGGACUGAGACACGGCCCAAACUCCUACGGGAGGCAGCAGUGGGGAAUAUUGCACAAUGGGGGAAACCCUGAUGCAGCAACGCCGCGUGAAGGAUGAAGGUUUUCGGAUCGUAAACUUCUAUCAACAGGGAAGAAACAAAUGACGGUACCUGAAUAAGAAGCCCCGGCUAACUACGUG
rnacentral:rRNA from 1 species